AAAAAGACCAAACCCUAACAUCCAUGACCCCUGCAACAACCUAAUGCAUGCAUGCAUUACUCACGAAAACUAAACCAACACCCAACUCAAGGGAGUAAACCGCCACCUGCACCACUGCCGGCACCAGCCCCAAGGCCGCUAGUUCCUCCAAUGCCACUACCGAGCCCACCCAAGCCACCAACACCACCGACUCCAGCACCAACGACGGGAACA
rnacentral:misc_RNA from 1 species